CCUCAGCAAACUGUAACCGGCAGGCCCAGCGUGUGGUCUGCUGUCUGUUUGGCUCUCCCCAGAAGGAAGAAGAAGAAAACGGAGGACCCACCUAUCAUCUGACGAAUGCUAUGUUUUGUCCAGAUAUGGUGCCACGUUGUCACUCACAGUCACCACGUGCUGCUUCCUGGAAGGAUUUGGGUUUUUCAUCUUGACAGCCAUGCCAGGUGGCAAACUUCAAGUUCGAACUUAAGAGUUUCUCAACCGUGACCCGAAGGCCACCCACAUCAAUGUUAAAAGUGCUGAUCCCUGUGCCGCUCAGUCCUGUGGAAUUAGAAUCUCAGUCCAGAGUCUGCACUUUCAAGUCCUGUAGAUCUCAGUCGCUGUCAUUUGAGUUGCUCCUCACAGUCCUGGCAAUCUCAAAUCUCCGGAUGCCUUGGUAGGAAAGUUCCGUCUGGCUGAUCAGAAUAGAGGCCAUUGUGAUCCUGUGAGAAAACGUUGAAAUCUUGGUGUGGAGGGGAGAAGAAUGCUCCAGAGAAAGACUGCAUAGGUGUUGUUCUGUGUGAGUCGGAGAAUCGUCUACGAUAGCUGCCAUUUUAGUUUUGAAUGAGUGAAUCUGAUCAGCCUACAGAAACCAAAGUAAAAUAAUAAAUAGAAAAGGGGUAGAUCAUAAAAUUGACUACUUAGCACAUCCAGUAGAAAUAGGCUGGGAAGGAUCUUCAAGACAGAUCUCUGGAAUUCCCCGUCAAGGGUCCCAGGCAGAGUGUACCCUCAAGUGAGGCUCCCAGGUAAAAGGACAAGCAACGUUUCAGAUGUGGCAUAAUCAAAUAUGGCUCUGAUCUCAUCAAGUAGAACCUGACUAAGGAAUUUGGAGCAGUGAGCAGGAGUUCCCAGUUGAGCCUUCUCCCUAUGAUUGUGACUCCCACGGCUGAACUCUUGACUUCUCUUUUCCCCUGUAGAUCUUUGAAUAGCAUGGGAUCUCUAUUGGAAACAGCUCACUUUCUAGCUCCUCUCAUGGAUACAAUGUUUGUACUCUUUGGUCUCUGUACUGGCUGGUUUCCUGUGUCAACUUGACACAUGCUAGAGUUAUCACAGAGAAAGGAGCCUCCCUUGAGGAAAUGCCUCCAUGAGAUCCAGCUGUAAGGCACAUUUUCUCAAUUAGUGAUCAAGUGGGGAGGGCCCAGCCUACUGUGUG
ensembl:lncRNA